rnacentral:rRNA from 1 species
UACGGAAGGGGACUAGCGUUGUUCGGAAUUACUGGGCGUAAAGCGUGCGCAGGCGGUUUUGUAAGCCAGAUGUGAAAUCCCCGGGCUUAACCUGGGAAUGGCAUUUGGGACUGCAAGGCUCGAGUGCGGCAGAGGAGACUGGAAUUCCUGGUGUAGCAGUGAAAUGCGUAGAUAUCAGGAAGAACACCCGUGGCGAAGGCGGCUCUCUGGAACGCAACUGACGCUGAGACGCGAAAGCAUGGGGAGCGAACAGG